UGCAAGUCGAGCGGAACGAGUUAUCUGAACCUUCGGGGAACGAUAACGGCGUCGAGCGGCGGACGGGUGAGUAAUGCCUAGGAAAUUGCCCUGAUGUGGGGGAUAACCAUUGGAAACGAUGGCUAAUACCGCAUAAUACCUUCGGGUCAAAGAGGGGGACCUUCGGGCCUCUCGCGUCAGGAUAUGCCUAGGUGGGAUUAGCUAGUUGGUGAGGUAAUGGCUCACCAAGGCGACGAUCCCUAGCUGGUCUGAGAGGAUGAUCAGCCACACUGGAACUGAGACACGGUCCAGACUCCUACGGGAGGCAGCAGUGGGGAAUAUUGCACAAUGGGCGCAAGCCUGAUGCAGCCAUGCCGCGUGUGUGAAGAAGGCCUUCGGGUUGUAAAGCACUUUCAGUCGUGAGGAAGGUAGUGUAGUUAAUAGCUGCAUUAUUUGACGUUAGCGACAGAAGAAGCACCGGCUAACUCCGUGCCAGCAGCCGCGGUAAUACGGAGGGUGCGAGCGUUAAUCGGAAUUACUGGGCGUAAAGCGCAUGCAGGUGGUUUGUUAAGUCAGAUGUGAAAGCCCGGGGCUCAACCUCGGAAUAGCAUUUGAAACUGGCAGACUAGAGUACUGUAGAGGGGGGUAGAAUUUCAGGUGUAGCGGUGAAAUGCGUAGAGAUCUGAAGGAAUACCGGUGGCGAAGGCGGCCCCCUGGACAGAUACUGACACUCAGAUGCGAAAGCGUGGGGAGCAAACAGGAUUAGAUACCCUGGUAGUCCACGCCGUAAACGAUGUCUACUUGGAGGUUGUGGCCUUGAGCCGUGGCUUUCGGAGCUAACGCGUUAAGUAGACCGCCUGGGGAGUACGGUCGCAAGAUUAAAACUCAAAUGAAUUGACGG
rnacentral:rRNA from 1 species